rnacentral:lncRNA from 1 species
AUAUCUCCUUCAUGAACUAUUAAAUUACUUUCAAAUUUUACCAAAAUUUUAAAAAUUAAGUCUAGUAUGUAUAAAAAAAAAUCACUUUAAUCCAAUCAACAAAUUAUUAAAGAUCUUAGAAAUACUCACUGAUCCUCAAACUCCAAUUUCUAAGACGUCAAGAAACCUUCAAAUUUAUAAACAUGUUUUUAUUUUUUAAAUCCUAAUCCUACUAAGAACAUUGUUAACUUUGAAAAUCUCUUAAAAUCUCAAUAUUGAUUCAAAUGACAUAAAAUCAAUGCCUAAAAAUCACUUUUCAUGUUUGCUCCCAAAU